CAAUGUGAGAGUGAUCUGGCUGCAACAUCUGUCACCCCCCUGAUCACCAGGGCGGAUUUGGCUGAUCUGGCUGGCUAGGCAGGUGUCACUUUCCUCCCUCUGCUCCAUGUGUGUCCCUCCCGAAGCCGCGUGCUCUGUUGAAGAGGUUGACCUUCCCUGACAGAGGAGAAAUGGUCUUCAAUCAAGUGCAAAUGAGUAGCUGCUCUCUUCUGCUAGAACCUCCACAAACAAGCUCUCAAGAUUAAAUGAGGCAUGUGUUGAAUGCUCAGAACCUGGGGGAAGAGUUUGGAUCAUGCUCAGAGUUUUCAGAGCAGUAAUUC
ensembl:misc_RNA 7SK 7SK RNA